rnacentral:misc_RNA from 1 species
ACGUAUCUCCGGCGGAGAGCGAUCCCUGCUCCGGCGCGAGCCGUGCAGCGGGAGAGCGAUCUGUCCGAACCUUUUCAAACCCCGUGCACUUUUGACGGCGGACGGGGAGCCCUCGGGCUUCCCUGAAGCCGUACCAAACAAACACCUUUCAAACUCGAAUGACUUGCGGCCUAAGCGUCGCCUAAACUUUACGAAA